AGGUUGGCCGGUCACACUGGGACUGAGACACUGCCCAGACUCCUGCGGGAGGCUGCAGUCGAGAAUCUUCCGCAAUGGACGCAAGUCUGACGGGGCGACGCCGCGUGGGGGAUGAAGGCUUUCGGGUUGUAAACCCCUGUUGCACGCUAGGAAUAUCUGUGGGUUAAUAGCCUUGCAGGUUGACCAUCGUGUGAGGAAGCACAGGCUAACUCCGUGCCAGCAGCCGCGGUAAUACGGAGUGUGCAAGCGUUACUCGGAAUCACUGGGCAUAAAGAGCACGUAGGCGGGCCGCUUAGUCGGUAGUGAAAGCCCUCAGCUCAACUGAGGAACUGCUACCGAAACUGGUGGCCUUGAGGACAAGAGGGGAGAGUGGAACUUCUGGUGGAGCGGUGAAAUGCGUAGAUAUCAGAAGGAACACCGGUGGCGAAAGCGACUCUCUGGCUUGUUUCUGACGCUGAGGUGCGAAAGCGUGGGUAGCAAACAGGAUUAGAUACCCUGGUAGUCACGCCGUAAACGAUGGGCACUAAGCAGGGGAGGUUCCGAUGCCUUCCUUGCUGGAGCUAAUGUAUUAAGUGCCCCGCCUGGGAAGUACAGUCGCAAGGCCGAAACUCAAAGGAAUUGACGGGGGCUCACACAAGCGGUGGAGCAUGUGGUUUAAUUCGAAACAACGCGCAAAACCUUACCUGGGUUUGACAUGCACGGACUAGCCCCUAGAAACAGGGGUGACGCCCGCAAGGGUGGAACGUGCACAGGUGCUGCAUGGCUGUCGUCAGCUCGUGUCGUGAGAUGUCGGGUUAAGUCCCUUAACGAGCGAAACCCUUGCCGUUAGUUGCCAGCGGAUAAUGCCGGGGACUCUAGCGGGACUGCCGUGGUCAACACGGAGGAAGGCGGGGAUGACGUCAAGUCCUCAUGGCCUUUAUGCCCAGGGCUACACACGUGCUAUAAUGGCCGGUACAAAGCGACGCAAGACCGUAAGGUGGAGCUAACCGCACAAAGCCGGUCCCAGUACGGAUUGAGGGCUGCAAUCCGCCCUCAUGAAGUUGGAAUCGCUAGUAAUCGCGGAUCAGCAUUGCCGCGGUGAAUAUGUUCCUGAGCCUUGUACACACCGCCCGUCAAGCCACGGAAGCCGGUAGUGCCCAAAGUCGCUGGCCCAACCCGCAAGGGGGGGAGGCGCCUACGGUAAGACCGGUGACUGGGACUAAGUCGUAACAAGGUA
rnacentral:rRNA from 1 species